GCUGGUUACCUGCUUGGUGUUUAGUCAGUAGAGAUGUCUUGCUGAAUCGGUGAAGAUCCGCUGUGCUUUAAGCCUGGACCCGCGCUCCAAAACAUCCGAAACAGCAAGAUGUGGUGCAUUUGAAGCUUAUAGUUAGCAAAGCCACUAAGAUGAUAUUUUUCCAUUUGGAUGUAACUUCACCCACCCAACCCGGCACCUGCACCUCAACAACAUCUUCUCCAACCUCAACUUCCAUCUUGGAGCUCAGGAUACCUGUUGUUUUUUUACCUUCCCAAAGGAAACUUACCUCCAUCCUUUUACCUGGAGCCAUGGACCGCAGACAUGCCAGAAGGUUCAGGAAUAAUCCUAUAGGCCAAAGGCCCAGCCGACAGUCCCUAGAUGAAUAUUGGUAACUCUGCCACAUGGUGAGACUCCUGGCCACUGAACCUGCUGGCACUUGCGGAUAACCUGCCUAUUACUCUUGGGGUCCCUCUCCAACCUGAGCCGACUCUUAAUGGUUUCCCCGAAGAACCUGAAGUACCUGAACCCCCUGUUCACUCAGCUCCUGCUCCAAAUCCUCCACCUCCUGUUUCCCCAAACUCUGCAUCCACUGACAAUGCACCCCUUCACCAACUAAUGAUGAUUAAGCCAGAUAAUUGCUCAUCUCUAUUUUUUGUGGUUUUAUACUUUUUUUCCCCUGUAAUGAACCAACUGGAUUAUUAGAUAAUAAUUAGAUUAGAUAAGAUAAUUAGAUAGGUAAAAUUCAUGUUUAUGUAAAAUGAGAAUAGGUAAUGAUUAAAGUAAACUUACCUAUACUAUAUUAAAGUAAUCAUAGAUUUGAUUUAGCAUA